rnacentral:tRNA from 1 species
GCGGGGGUUGCCAAGUCAGGACAACGGCGCAGGACUUAGGCUCCUGUCCCAUAGGGGUUCGUGGGUUCAAAUCCCACCCCCCGCA